rnacentral:rRNA from 1 species
UACGUAGGGUCCGAGCGUUGUCCGGAAUUACUGGGCGUAAAGCGCGCGUAGGUGGUUUGUUAAGUUGGAUGUGAAAGCCCCGGGCUCAACCUGGGAACUGCAUCCAAAACUGGCAAGCUAGAGUACGGUAGAGGGUGGUGGAAUUUCCUGUGUAGCGGUGAAAUGCGUAGAUAUAGGAAGGAACACCAGUGGCGAAGGCGACCACGUGGACUGAUACUGACACUGAGGUGCGAAAGCGUGGGGAGCAAACAGG